rnacentral:tRNA from 1 species
GGUGCUGUGGCUCAAGUGGUAGAGCGCUAGCAUGUAUGAAGCCCUGGGUUCGAUUCCUCAGCACCA